GACGAACGCUGGCGGCGUGCUUAACACAUGCAAGUCGAACGGAAAGGCCCUGCUUUUGUGGGGUGCUCGAGUGGCGAACGGGUGAGUAACACGUGAGUAACCUGCCCUUGACUUUGGGAUAACUUCAGGAAACUGGGGCUAAUAUCGGAUAGGAGCUCCUGCUGCAUGGUGGGGGUUGGAAAGUUUCGGCGGUUGGGGAUGGACUCGCGGCUUAUCAGCUUGUUGGUGGGGUAGUGGCUUACCAAGGCUUUGACGGGUAGCCGGCCUGAGAGGGUGACCGGCCACAUUGGGACUGAGAUACGGCCCAGACUCCUACGGGAGGCAGCAGUGGGGAAUAUUGCACAAUGGGCGGAAGCCUGAUGCAGCAACGCCGCGUGCGGGAUGACGGCCUUCGGGUUGUAAACCGCUUUCGCCUGUGACGAAGCGUGAGUGACGGUAAUGGGUAGAGAAGCACCGGCUAACUACGUG
rnacentral:rRNA from 1 species